rnacentral:rRNA from 1 species
GAUGAACGCUGGCGGCGUGCUUAACACAUGCAAGUCGAACGGAAAGGCCCCUCCUUGGAGGGGUACUCGAGUGGCGAACGGGUGAGUAACACGUGGGUGAUCUGCCCUGCACUUCGGGAUAAGCCUGGGAAACUGGGGCUAAUACCGGAUAGGAGCGUCGGCUGGAUGGCAUGGGGGGAAGUGUUUUGGGUGUGGGGGAUGGUCUCGCCGUCUAUGAGCGUGUUUGGGGGGAUGUGGCCUCCCAACGCGUAGACGGGUAGCCGGUCUGAGAGGGUGUACCGGCACAUUGGGAAUGAGAUACGGCCCAGACUCCUACGGGAGGCAGCAGUGGGGAAUAUUGCACAAUGGGGGGAAGCCUGAUGCAGCGACGCCGGGUUGCGGAUUACGGGCUUCGGGGUGUAAACCCGUUUCGGUCUGUACGGAGCGGUAUGUGACGGUAAUGAGUGAAGAAGCACCGGCUAACUACGUG